rnacentral:rRNA from 1 species
CAGUCGCCGCGGUAAAACGUAGGGUGCAAGCGUUAAUCGGAAUUACUGGGCGUAAAGCGUGCGCAGGCGGUUUGUUAAGACAGAUGUGAAAUCCCCGGGCUCAACCUGGGAACUGCAUUUGUGACUGGCAAGCUAGAGUCUGGCAGAGGGGGGUGGAAUUCCGCGUGUAGCAGUGAAAUGCGUAGAUAUGCGGAGGAACACCGAUGGCGAAGGCAGCCCCCUGGGCCAACACUGACGCUCAUGCACGAAAGCGUGGGGAGCAAACAGGAUUAGAUACCCCAGUAGUCCCUGUCUCUUAUAA